CGACGACGGUGAAGAUGAUGAUGAUGAUGAAGAUAAUGAUGGUGAUGAAAAUCAUCAUCAUCAUCAUCAUCUUCAUCGUCAUCAUCAUCUUCAUCA
rnacentral:pre_miRNA from 1 species